rnacentral:misc_RNA from 1 species
UUUUUCAAAUUGGACCUGAUA